rnacentral:tRNA from 1 species
AGCCUCGUAACUCAACUGGUAGAGCGUGCGCUGUUAAAAAGGUGUAGGCGGCAUCCAUGCGUUGGUUUGAAUCCCACCGAGGCUA